rnacentral:rRNA from 1 species
AGUGAACGCUGGCGGCGUGCUUAACACAUGCAAGUCGAACGAGAACGGAUUAUAGCUUGCUAUAAUUGACAGCUAAGUGGCGCACGGGUGAGUAAUGUAUAGGUAAUAUGCCUCUUACUAAGGGAUAACAAAUGGAAACGUUUGCUAAUACCUUAUACUCCUUAUUAACAGAAGUUAAUAAGGGAAAGAUUUAUUGGUAAGAGAUUAGCCUGUAUUGUAUCAGUUAGUUGGUGAGGUAAUGGCUUACCAAGACUAUGACACAUAACUGGUUUGAGAGGAUGAUCAGUCACACUGGAACGGGGACACGGUCCAGACUCCUACGGGAGGCAGCAGUGGGGAAUAUUGCACAAUGGACGAAAGUCUGAUGCAGCAACGCCGCGUGGAGGAUGACACAUUUCGGUGCGUAAACUCCUUUUAUAUGAGAAGAUAAUGACGGUAUUAUAUGAAUAAGCACCGGCUAACUCCGUGCCAGCAGCCGCCGUAA